rnacentral:lncRNA from 1 species
CCCCCACAACCUUUCUAGCUCCCACAGUGAGAUCUAAGUUGAUAUCCCACCAAUAGGAUCCUCAUCACAUGGCACACUCUGGCCGUGACGAUGGCCUGCCUCACUUCCCCCUCACAGAUGGCAAGGACCUCAAGUGUUCACUUGGUUGUUUCUCGGAGCCAGGAAGACAGUGUGAAUGGAUCACGGCACUUGAAGACAACCAAGAACAGCCCCGACUACUCCCCACGCUCCCCUGGGUCCACUGGUCUUUCUGUCUUUCUGGUCCAGGCCUUUUUCCUUCUAAUCCCUCCCUGUGUUCUGCCGAAGGAGCUGCAGACCCUCACUGUGGGAGUCACAGCUGCAGUUCUUCCUGGGCUGGUGUUACAGGGUCCCUGUCCUGAGGACAGUGCCGUGGCUGUGAUGUUUCUUUCCUGGGGUGGCCUGUUUCUCCAGAGCAGAGGCUGUGGCUGGAUGUGCGGGGUAGCCUGGUGACUCACCGCCUUCCAUAUCAGCCUGAUGCUUUGAGGUCAGCUCUCGCAAAUAGCUCAAAUCUCAACAGACCAAGUCCAAGCAAAUACCUUGCCAAUCCCCACAAGAAACAGCUCUCGCUGCCCUUCAAAGGACAAAAAUGGUCAUUGGCAAGGGAGUCUUGGUGCACACAGGGUUGGCUUUGGAGGCACUGCACACGGCCAGCUCCAGCUUCUCCCAGACUUCCCUCCAGAGAGAGGUGUCAGAGCAGAACUUGGAGUGGCUCCUGAGCCGGGAUUUCUAUCCCGGAGUCCACUGUGAGCGCUGUCCAGGCAGGGACCCGAGCAGGCAGCCCUCGGCAGCUGUGGAAGGACAAUCGGUCCCCGUGGUCCCAGGUGGUUUCUGUAUGUUACCCAACCCCCUGGGGGGGUGGAUGGACUGUUUUCUAGAAGGUUCUUGGACUCUGAGGAGAUUCGGCUCUGGCAUGUCAGAGGCACAGUGUCCUGACCCCCUCUCCUCUCCUGGGCCUCCUCUUUCUUUCCACGUGCAGCGCUUUAAGUCACUGUUGUCAGUCUCCCUAGCUAAACACUGGCAUUUCUAAGUGAUCCUUCCCUCCCGCCCUCUCUUCCUUCCUUCCUUAACACCGGGGAUUGAACCCAGGGGUGCUUGACCAUUGAGCCCAUCCCCAGCCCUUUUUGUUUUUAGUUUUAGGACAAGGUCUACCAAUUGCCCAGCCUGACCUCAAACUUGGGCCUCCCCGGCCUUGACCUCCCGAGUCUCUGGGAUCAGAGGCACGCGCCGCCACACCCAGCUUUAGAUGACCUUUUAAAUAAAAAUAAUCACUUUGAAUCGUGCUCCUGUGCCUUGAUUUGAAGACGGGCUUG